AUGCGUGACCAAGAUCACCGUCCAUGCCUUAGCCUGGCCAGCGAUGGCACACUGCUUAUGCUACAGAUGCAGGAGACAGGUUCCCAGCUAGAGAUAUGGAGACAACAAGAGGACCAACAGAUUGUAUAUGUCUCAAAGUGGCUCUGCUCUCAGACGAUCGAGCUGAUACAUCCGACUAAGAAGAAGACCCAAGGAAAUGCCAAGCUUUGCAUACUAGGAGAGAAGUGUGGCAAAUUACUUGUUAUAGAUGAGCGUGGCCACGUGUUCACAGCCGACCUCAAGACCAGAGCAAUGAAGGAGGUAGCGGACCGGCCUCACGGACGCCACAACAGCCCUCUGGACGCCGUGCUCUUGGAGAUGGAUUGGCCGGCAUUCUUUGUUUCACGGCUUGGUAUCAUGAGUGGCGAGGCAGAUGCAAGAAGAAGAAGGCAUCGCAUGGGAAGAGGCGUUAGGAAGAUUGCAGAUAGAGGAAAGUAG
rnacentral:rRNA from 1 species